GGGCCUAGUUGGCAGCACAUAUACUAAAAUUGGAACGAUACAGAUUAGCAUGGCCCCUGC
rnacentral:snRNA from 1 species